AGCAUAUCAAAAUAAAAAUGUAUUUACAAUUAUUAACCCACACUUUUCUCUAGGUGAUCAAACAAUAGAGUCUUGGUUUCUAUAAAACAUGUUUUUUUGUUUGUUUGUUUGUUUUUGUGUCUGUGUGUGGUGCUGGGGAUUUAACCCAGGGCCUUGUGCAUGUGAGGCAAACACUCUACCAACUGAGCUACAUCCCCAGCUCUCUAUAAAAUGUUUAAAGUGUAAUAUCCAUUGCUUCUAUAGAUUUUUUCUUUAGCAGGGACAGAUGGCUUUUACUGUUAACUACACUUGUCUGAUAUCUUGAUUUUUAUGGGUAACUUAACAAUUAAAAUUGAGUAAUUGAGAUUAAACAUAAUGGGAUUAGUUUUCAUAAAUGUGUUUGUUAGAGGAGACAUUCAGUUAAUUUACAAACUAUAUCAAUUGCUAAGUAGAAAUUCAAGUACUUCUGACUUUUUAAUUCCAUAAAAUAAUAUAUAUUUAAGUAUCACGUGAUAUAUUUUAGUAUCAUGUGUAGUUUUAUAAAUUGGUAAAUGAAAAAGGAAAAUGUCCCUAAUGCUUCCAAGGGAAGCCAUAUGUGAUCAACUGGUAAAGGAAACUAAAACAGGAAGCUUCUUACUAGUCUCCAAAAGUGACCCCCUGAAGAAUUUCAGGUGACUAAUCUAU
rnacentral:lncRNA from 1 species